rnacentral:lncRNA from 1 species
CUUAGAAGAAUCAAAAGAAACUUGAAUUAUAAUAGUGUAUUGCUUCCUCUGAGCCAUAAAAGAGAAUAGCAUGAAUCUUUUGAGAACAGACAGGAUGAACAGGCAGAUAGUCAUACUUGGGCAUUUAAGUAACUGAAAAAUAAGGUUGGAUUUUAGACUUUGCUUCAUUAUUUUAAGUUUUUGUUCAAACUUACUGUAAGGGAACCUUUAUUCUACUCCUUUGUGAAGACUGCAAGAGAUAUGUAAAGAAAGAAGCUCAGUCAAUAAAUCAAUGAGUUUCAGCUUUUCUUUGUUCUUAUUUAACCACAUUAACUAACAAAGGUGGCAGGUUGCCUAAUUACUACAUCUUUUUUAUUUUUAAAGGUAUGAAUACAACUAUGCUUAUAAUCUCACUUUCUGAAGGGCUGACAAUCCUUCAGUCCUACUGAAAUCUGUCUGGCAGGUCAUAUUGCCCAUAGACAUCAUGCACUGAGGAAACUUCUUGCAAGUUUAAAGUCAUACUGUGUAACCUGAAGUGGAUCCCAACUUCACAUACAUAUCUGCAAAACAUCUCAAUCCAGACACUCAUGGGAAAAGCAUAUGUUCUUCUGGCUAUUCACCUCAAUCCCCGCUCUUAGUGAUGACAUCAUUAUGUUUAUGAUAAUUUUCCUUCAUCACCACAGUCCCAGAGGAUGGCUGUACAUGGCAAAGAUACAGAAAAUGCUUAAAUUAAUUAGGAGAAAGCACACUUAAAGAAAUUCGCUUCCUGAGUUAUGUGAAGAGUUGCAAACCAUAGCCUGU